UACGUAGGGGGCAAGCGUUGUCCGGAUUUAUUGGGCGUAAAGAGCGUGUAGGCGGUUUGGUAGGUCCGCUGUGAAAACUCGAGGCUCAACCUCGAGACGCCGGUGGAAACCAUCAGGCUAGAGUCCGGAAGAGGAGAGUGGAAUUCCUGGUGUAGCGGUGAAAUGCGCAGAUAUCAGGAAGAACACCCGUGGCUAAGGCGGCUCUCUAGUACGGUA
rnacentral:rRNA from 1 species